AUAUAGAUACUUGUACCUAUUUCAGCCAGCAUCUUCACAAUGUCCUUUGAUGUUGUUCUGGGAUUGAUUUGCACUUUUCGCACCAAAGUACGUUCAUCUCUAGGAGACAGAAUGCAUCUCCUUCCUGAGCGUUAUGAUGGCUGUGUGGUUCGAUGGUGUUUAUACUUGCGUACUCUUGUUUGUACAGAAGAACGUGGUACCUUCAGGCGUUUGGUUCACCCUUGGGAGCAGUUUCCAGACUUGUGAAAGUCUACAAAUGUUUUUCUGAGGUUUUGGCUGAUUUCUUUUGAUUUCCCCAUGAUGUCAAGCAAAGAGGCACUGACUUUGAAGGUAGGCCUUGAUAUACAUCCACAGGUACACCUUCAAUUGACUCAAAUGAUGUCAAUUAGCCUAUCAGAAGCUUCUAAAGCUGCCAUUUUCUGGAAUUUUCCAAGCUGUUUAAAGGUACAGUCAACUUAGUGUAUGUAAACUUCUGACCCACUGGAAUUGUGAAACUAAUCUGUCUGUAAACAAUUGUUGGAAAAAUGACUUGUGUAAUGCACAAAGUAGUGUCUUAACCGACUUGCCAAAACUAUAGUUUGUUAACAAUAAAUUUGUGGAGUGGUUGAUAAACGAGUUUUAACGAGCUAAGUGUAUGUAAACUUCCGACUUCAACUGUACCUAGCUCGGAUUUGGCUUGGAAACAUGAUAACAUGUUCAAAAGAAGGCAAAUAAUUAGUAGGAGAACCCUUUGUCAUGAUUGAUGUUGCCAGAUUGACUUUAGAUGCAGUGUAACUUUAGCCAGCUUAGAUUGAGGGGUCCACCGUAUUUUAGCUAGCUAACAUUAACAUUGCUAGCUAUUUUGACAAACUUUGCUAGUAACAGUAAUGGUAACAUUUCUAUCUCUCCAAAGUAAUUUUGAUGACAUAUGGCAGAGUUGUUUCCUGCUUACUGUUUGCCUACUUUAGUAAUGUCAUCGUAUUUCCAUGCCAUUAGAAGUUAGUGUAAAUUAGACUGAACUGUCACAUGAGCCUCCAAGGUGCAACCCAUGUCUAGGGCACAAAUAAAUAUUGGAUGCAUCUGUGGUGGUACUAGUUAAUUCAUGUCUGACUACAACUGUGUACUAACUAGCAGCAACAAACCCAAACCAACCCAGGGCCAUGGCAAAACAUGUCAUAGUGUAACUGCAUCACUGGACUGAAUCUAUUCCAAUCUGGAGCCAGUCAGUCUACAUCUGUAAAGCAUAGAAUUAGCUAGUGACCUGAGUUACUGCCCUAUUGACAACGACGGGUUAUGUGAAAAGUUGUAUUCAAAAAUAUCUGGCUUGAUAAACAAUUAGUCUAAUUCCCCAGCCAAGCAAAUACAACUAGUAUUUUGGUUGUGAAGUGCAUUAGCAAAACGCUUUAUCCUUUCUUUAGAAGAAAAUGUAAUAUACCACUUGGCUGUCUUAUAUCACCCUGUCACAGGCCCUCCCAGUUGACACCACCUCAUAAGAUUGUCUACUGCAGUUGUUCAAGAGAUGUCCAGUUUGCAAACAUGCAGCGUAGAGAUACCAGCAUGGGGACCGUCAUCAAAAUCAAAUCUAAUUUUAUUUGUCACAUGCGCCGAAUACAACAGGUGUAGACCUCACCGUGAAAUGCUUACUUACAAGCUCUCACUGUGUGCAUUCCUAUGAAUGGAACAGUCCUCCACAUGUUGGCAAGUAUCCGGCCAGCAACCUUCACCUGUCAGCGGCAACCGCUUUCACAGGCUCAUAAUUUGUACAAAUACAGAAGGUAACCCACUUCAUUACUUUGAUGACCCAAUUGUGAAACAUAAUUUGUAAACGGACCUUUGUUGCUUUUUUUCUACUUUUUAGAUGUGAAAUAGAACUGUAAACUCAGUGUUCAGGUUGGUUCCACCAGGGUUAUCAAUCAACAUUGAGUGUGUGUGUGUGUGUGUGUGUGUGUGUGUGUGUGUGUGUGUGUGUGUGUGUGUGUGUGUGUGUGUGUGUGUGUGUGUGUGUGUGUGUGUGUGUGUGUGUGUGUGUGUGUGUGUGUGUGUGUGUGUGUGUGUGUGUGUGUGUGUGUGUGUGUGUGUGUGUGUGUGUGUGUGUGUGUGUGUCCGACCAGUAUCUUUGAGGGGCCAGGAGCUGAUCUACGCUGCUAUCCCCAUCAAUGGGGCUCUGGCAAAGACCUAAUUUCUUGCCUUCUCACCAACGGUUGUCAAUGGGGAGAACAGAAUUUGAUACCUGUAUGGAGCAAGACUUUCAAGAUGAUGGGAUGGAGUCCGGCGGGCUUGAUGCUGUCCGAAAUGGAGAGACCUUGCCCUCAGCAAUAAAAUUAUACAUUUUU